UAGGGAAUCUUGGACAAUGGGCGCAAGCCUGAUCCAGCCAUGCCGCGUGAGUGAUGAAGGCCUUAGGGUUGUAAAACUCUUUCGCACGCGAAGAUAAUGACGGUAGCGUGAGAAGAAGCCCCGGCUAACUUCGUGCCAGCAGCCGCGGUAAUACGAAGGGGGCUAGCGUUGUUCGGAUUUACUGGGCGUAAAGCGCGUGUAGGCGGAUUGGUAAGUUGGGGGUGAAAGCCCAGAGCUCAACUCUGGAAUUGCCUUCAAGACUGCCAGUCUGGACUCAAGGAGAGGCAAGUGGAAUUGCGAGUGUAGAGGUGAAAUUCGUAGAUAUUCGCAGGAACACCAGUGGCGAAGGCGACUUGCUGGACUUGUAGUGACGCUGAGACGCGAAAGCGUGGGGAGCAAACAGG
rnacentral:rRNA from 1 species